rnacentral:rRNA from 1 species
GUCUUUUUGAUUUUAAUUUAAAGUUUAACCUGCCCAUUGAAAAUUUUUAAAAGGGUGCGGUAUUUUGACUGUACAAAGGUAGCAUAAUCAUUAGUUUUUUAAUUGAAAACUUGUAUGAAUGGUUGGAUGAGAAAUUAACUUUUUUAAAAAAAUAAUUGAAUUUUACUUUUUAAUUAAAAGGUUAAAAUAAAUUUAAAAGACGAGAAGACCCUAUAGAGUUUUAUAAUUUAUAUUUAAUAUUUAAAAAGAUUAAUUAAAAUUUUAUAAAAGAAAAUAUUUUGUUGGGGUGAUAAUAAAAUUUAAAUAACUUUUAUUUUUUUUUUACAUUAAUAUAUGAAUUUAUGAUCCAUUAUUGAUGAUUAGAAAUUUAAAUUACCUUAGGGAUAACAGCGUAAUUUUUUUUUAAAGUUCAUAUUAAUAAAAAAUUUUGCGACCUCGAUGUUGGAUUAAGAUUUAAUUUUAGGUGCAGCAGUUUAAAUUUUAAGUCUGUUCGACUUUUAAAUUCUU